rnacentral:lncRNA from 1 species
UCUCCGAUAAGAAGCAGCAGCAUGGGACUCCAUUGGAGAGAAUUCUCCACACACGGUCACAUAAAGGUUGCCAUACACAGUUGAAAAGAUAUCCAUAGGAUGUACCAUAAGAUGGUGGUUGUAGCCACACGUUGGACUUAAGAAAAGCGGUUGUCACUUUCAAUACACCAUAAGGGAGAAAAGAUUCACACACGCAACAAUGGGAAGGUAAGUUGAUUUUUUUUUUUUUAGUUUGGUUUUUUAUUAAUUAUAUAUGUUUGAAAAGUUAUUAUUUUUUAGUUUGGUUUUGAUUAAUUAUGUAUAUUUAUAUUGAAAGGUAUGAUUUUUUUUUUUUGUUUAGUUUUUAAUUCAUCAUAUUAUAUUGAAAGGUUUUAAUUUCUUUAGUUUAGUUUUUUUAGUUCAUUAUAUUAUAUUAAAAAGUUAGAAUUGUUUUUAGUUUCCUUUUUAUUUAUUGUAUCAUAUCGAAAGGUUAUAAUUUUUUUAUUAUCAUUAUAGUUCACUAGAUUAAUUGUUUUGUAGGAUAAAAUUUUUAUUUUGAAGCUUGUGCCAUGUUAGUUUAUUUCGUUUAAGUUAAUUCAAAAGUUUUAUAGUUUUAAUUAAUUAGUUUAAUUCGUUUGAUUGAUUUGAUGUCAUGAUGUUUUAUCUUACAAAGUUUGAUAAUUGUAGUACUUAAUCAUCUUGUUUUAGGUUUUGUGUUAUUAGGUUAUUUACCAUGCAAUUAAAAUUUUAUCUUGUAAAGUUGGAUAAUUUCAGUGCUUAAUCAUCUUGUUUUAGGUUUUGUGUUAUUAAAUUUUUUUCUCUAUGCUAUUUAAAGUUCUCAUUUUUAGUAAUUUGGUAGUUCUUUGGUUUAGAUUUUCUUGUUAUACAUGUCUUUGAUUGUGUUAUUAUAUUUAAAGUUCUUGUCUUUAGAAAUUUGGUAGCUAAGAGUUUUUAGAUUUUCUAGUUAUUAUGCAUGCCUUUGAUUGCAUUAUUAUAUUUAAAAUUUGCAUAUUUAGAAAUUCGGUAGUUCUUAGGUUUUAGAUUUUCUUGUUAUUAUGCAUGUCUUUGAUUGCACUAUGUUAUUAAAUUCUCAUAUUUGGAAGAUUGUUGAUUCUUAGGUCUUAAAUUUGCUUGUUAUUAUAUUUGUAAUUUGAUGAUUAUUUUUAUUGAAUGUUUCAUCCUUAGAAGAUUGGUAUUUUUUAGGUUCUAGAUCUUUUGGUUUUAUUUCAUGCUAUUAAAAAAAGUCUUGAUUUUUAUUUUUGAAAGCAUAUUGGUUUGAUGGAAUCCUUAUAUGAAAGAUUUUUUCACAACUCAUCCUUGUUGUCGGUUUCCACUCACCUAAUAACCAUUUGGAUUUAAAAUUCGUUUUGAUAAUUUAGAGUACUUUUCAAAAAAUUUCCAAAAAAUUUAUGAUAUUCAUUACUUCUUGAACUUGAUUUUGGAAUAUUAUUCGAGUAAAAAAGAUUUUCUUGAAGUCAAAAUUAUGACAAUCUCUUUCAGCAUGUUUUGUUUAGGCUUACUUCUAUACACUUGAGAGCACUUUACAAAAUUAAAUUACUUUUUGAUAUUUUGAAUUUAAAUAAAUAUUUUCCUCAAAUUUUUUACUUCUUAAAAUUGAAUUUUGAGAUAUUAUUAAAAAAAAUAUGUUCUCUUGAGAGAGAUAUGAUUUUUCAAAUUUGUGCCUACUGCACAUGACUUUUUUUGGAUAGUUGAUAAGUUUGAGUGUUUUAAAAAUACUUUCUAGGGCUCUCUAGUCUUGGAUUUAUUUAUUAUUAUUAUUUUUUUGUAAACUAAACAACUUAAAGGACAUGUAUGAUUUUUUUUUUUUUUUAUGAUUUUAGGAGACUAAUUACUACUCAAAAACCACACAUUUUAGAUAAUAAUUCUCAUGAGUUUCAUACAUUUUGAGCAGUAAUUAUGCCUAAUAUACCCAAGUAAUACAUUGCUGCUACCCUUACAAGAUAUACUAAUGGUUUUUGUGAAGUUUUGGAGAUAUUUCAAGGUGAUUUUUAAAGUAUUGAGUGACAAAAGAGAAAUGGAAUCGAGGAAGGUAAACAAUAUGGAUGAUGAGGAAGAAGCAAUGCUUGGACCAAGAUUUGGAGCUGAAUUGAAGGUGGUUGAGGUGGAUUCAAAAGAAAGAAAUGGGAGAAAUGACAAAAAGGAGUUGAAAAACUAUGUUUUUCCAUUUCGUAUGAUCAUGCGAAAGUUUCGCAUAGUUAUGCAAAAUGGACCAGAAAACAAUUUUGGCUGCAACUCAAAGGGAAAACUAAAAACUGAUUUCGCAUGACCAUGCAAAAAUUUCACACAGUCAUGCGAAAUGCUCCAGGAAUACGAAAUUGGUGUUGAUGCAUUUUCCACUUUGCACAAUCGUGCGAAAUUGUUGGAGCUUGUGUGAAAUUGCAUUUUUCCAGAUUUCUUGGUGAAGAAGCCUCUGAAAGACCUCUUGGAUGAUGCCAAGUGUCCACUUGAACUUGACCUAUAAAUAGAAACUUGAUUUACUCAUUUGGGGGACUUUUAGACAUUUUCUAAUUGUAGAACUUUCCAGAUUUUCUCUUUCUAUAGAAUUCUCUAUUUUCCUUCAUUUUCUCUCAUUUUCUCGGUAGUUUUGAGACCAAAUCUCCAAGCAUGAGUGGCUAAAUCUUGUUUUUCUCGAAGGAGCAAGAUCUAUGGUGAAUUAGAGAAAUGAGCUUGAAUUGCAAAGGUAAUUUGAUCCAAUUGAUUGAUUAAUUCAAAUCAUAUAUUCAAUUUAUCUUAAAUUAUCUUCCAAUGAUU